rnacentral:lncRNA from 1 species
GUAACUAUAACGAUCCCGGAAAUUUGAAGGAAAUGUAUAUAAAAUUUCUAAGUGCAGAUGCGAAAUAAAAUAGAUUAUGGUUUACAUCACUUACACAAUAAUCAAAACGUAUUAAACGUAUGAAAGAAUAAGCUAACUAAAGUAAAUACUAGAAAUGAAUACUAUAAAGAAAACUAUAAAAUCUUUAGGCAUCUACUCGCCGUCUUCUUGCGGAACGGGCUCGAAAACCAAGUUCUCCUGAUCUGAAAUGGUUAAGUAAGAAAUGAGUUGCACUAGUCCAGUAAAGAUGUCACACUAUCUCAUUAUCACAGAAUUAAAGAUUUGUAGAAAACAAAAAUGACAAAUGGAGCAUAAUUUAUAACAAAUUUAUUUAUCAAUAAUAAAACUCUUUACUUUCCACUUACCUCGGUGAGAUUCAUGAAAACAACUUAUGAAAAUAAUAACACUAUAAUAUCAGGAAAUCAUACGCACUCUGUAACAUAACACAUGUCAAACUUUUAAUAUUUCAAUCAUCAAGCAACAAAUUUCCUCUUUUACCAGCUUACCAGUAUCCAUGGGGAUCCAUAGGGAUCCCCGCUACACGUAAACCAUUCACCUUAAUAACUUAAUUCCAGGGCCAUCCCCAUACCCUGUCUGGUAUGCGCGCCCCAAAACCAUAAAUCUCAAUAUCCCGUCUGGUAUGAGGGUGAAGCAGGCUGUCCCCAUACCCUUUUCGGUAUGAGCACUAAAACAUUUAAAGUCUCCAUACCCCAUCUGGUAUGAGAGACAACAUUUUCGAUAGGGUUCCCUAUGGACCGGUCCGUCCACCACCUCUCAGGAUAUCUAGUAAGACUGUUGACUUAUCCAUUUAUCAACUCACAUACAUUUUCUAUUUUUUCUUAGUUUUCUGUUUCUCACAUAAUCAUAAAUAUUUAAACCAGUAACGAGCGUCCAACAAGGCAGACAUAUUAUCGGAUUCACAAAAUCAAACCACAAUGAAGUAAACAGUGAUUCAUGCAUUCAAAAUCAUAAAAUAAAUAGAUCAGAUACCAUAAUGCAUUUAAAACUGUAAAAUAACUAAAACAGUAACUGAUCGAAAAUAUAUCAGAUUCGGACUCCAUUAGCAACCUUAAUUAAUUAUACAUAUCCAUUAAUUCAUAAAGUACCGUUUUAUGAUUUAUUAAGCUUUAAUGUCGUGAUAGAAAAUAGAGUGAGAGAUCCUUACUUGAUUCGGAGUCUAAGACUAGUUUUUUUCACUGCGCCUACGGGCUGUCCCUAGAUUCCCUGAAUUUUUCUCCAGAAACUGAAAUACACUUUUAGUACCUACACGUGUCCCCAAAUAACUCAAAAUCAGACCAGAGCCUAGUCGGCCAAUUUCAGAAUUUUGGCAUGGCAGCUCUCCCGUGCUCCGACGUCGCGGCAGUGAUCCGCGUCGGGUUGGUCGUUUUCUGGCUGUUUUCUACCAAAUUCGUCCAAACUUGCAUUGGUUUCUGUGAUAAAACACACGUAGGGCCCUCGGUGGGCCAAAAAAUACAGAAAACUGAGACUGACCGGCUGCGGAGCUCUCGGGUGCAGCGGCUCCUUCGGCUCGAGUCGCGGUUUAGUGUUUUGCUCCUAUCAACCUGUAGAGGAAAGGACGAUGGUCACAGUGGUGAAAAAAUUAUAUCGAAUGGGAAUCGGGAAGGGCCUCAUCGGAGGCAAAAAUCGAAGAAACCCGAGGCGGUGGCGCUGGGCUUCGGCGACAUUUUUCGACCAAUUGGCCGGUGGUUUAGCUUCGAUUUGGCCACAGGUGGGUUAAGAAUCGAAGUCCGAGCCAAAGAAAAAAAUUUUACCUCGUUUGGUGGCUGGAAAGUGCUUCAGUGCAGCGGUGGGUGGCGGCGGUGGGUUCCUCCGGUGGCUGAGCUGUCUUUUUCGGCGAGGGCUCUGGCGGCUAGGGUUUGGGUUUGGGUGUGGAUGAAAUUAUUUAUAACCUUCUGCUUUUAAUCUGAGCCGUCUAUCGCGAUUUAAUCUGAACCGUCCGAUCGCGAUUAAAUUAAAAAUGAAUCUAGGCCGUCCAUCGCAAUGCGAUCUAGGCCGUCCGUGCGUGAUUCAAUCUGGGUCGUCCGCACGUGUGCAAUCUGGGCUGUCCGCACGUGCUUUUGAUCUGGGUCGUCCGUGCGCGCAGUAACAGAUCUCAACCGUCCGAUCGCGUGCACGCGGAUCGCCCAUGUAGCCCUGUUCCGUGUGGCCUCCCGCGUCAGCAUUUCUGCCACGCGGCGUGUCCUGGUUGGCCGGGGCUGCUGACGCGUAGCAAUUUUUUUAAAUUGCGUUUUAAUCCCCAAUUUUUGAUUUUCUUUUCAAAAAUACCCCUAAAAUCCGAAUUUUCACCCCUCUUUCCCAAAAUUAUUUUCAAUUAAAUCCUAAAAAUAAUUUUACCCAUUUUUAUGAUUAUUAUUAUUUUUAUUUCCAUUUAAUUAAAUUAAACUAAAUUAAAACUAUAUAUUAUUAAAUAAAUAAUUAUUUAAUUCAUAUAAAUUUACAAAAAAAAAAAUUAAAUUAAAACAAAUUAAUAUUCAUAAAAAAAUAAUAAUAAAUUUUUGGGGUGUUACAGUAACGGUCCCGGAAAUUCAAAAAAAAAUACAUAUAAUAAUCUGAGUGCGGAAGCGAAAUAAAAGAUUAAAGUUAACAUCCCUUACAUAAUAACUUAAAAGUACUAAACAAUAUCACAGAAUAAGUUCUCUAAAGAAAAUACGAGAAAUAAAAAAAUUAAAAGAAACUCGAAAGUAUCUAGUAUCUACUCGUUGUUUUCUUGUGGAUCGGGCUCGAGAACCAGGUCCUCAUGAUCUGAAAUGGUUAAAUAAGAAAUGAGCUACACUAGCCCAAUAAGGACAUCACAUUAUAUCACCGUCACAUAAGCAAAUGUUGGUAGAAAACCAAAAACAACCAAUGGAGCACAAAUUUUAAACAAAUUCAUUUAUCAAUAAUCAAAUCAUUUACCGUCCACUUACUGCAGUAAGAUUUAUAAAAACAACCUAUGGAAACAAUAACAUUAUAAAUAUCAUGAAUUGAUAUAUAAUCUGUAACAUAGCACAUAUCAUACUUUUAUAUUCAAAUCAUCAAACAACAAUUGCCCUUUUUUUUUAUAUCAACCUUCUAGUAUCCAUGGGGAUCCAUAGGGGUCCUUACUACAAGUGAACUAUUCCCUUUAAAUAAUUUUAAUUCCAUAGCGAUUCCCAUACCCUGUCCGGUGUGAGUGCCAAAAUAAUAAACCUCAAUACCCCGUCUGGUAUGAGGGUGAAGUGGGCCAUCCUCAUACCCCGUCUGGUAUGAGCGCCAAAUGACCAAGUUUCCAUACCCCGUCCGGUAUGAGACAACGUUCACGGUAGGGUUCCCUAUGAAUCUGGUCCAUCCACCAUCUCCUAAGAUAUCUAGUGAGGCUGUCAUCUUAUCCAUUUAUCAAAUCACAUUCCAUUCCUAUUUCUCCUUAGUCUUCGUUACCAACUCAAACAUAAAUAUAUAAACAAGUAACUUGAUUUGACGCUGAAAACUAGAUUAUCACUGCGCCUACGGGCGGAUCCUGGGUUCCCUGAAUUUUUUUCUUGGGAAUUGAAACGCGCUUAUGGUAUCUACACAUAUCCCAAAUAACCUAAAAAUAAGACCCAGGGUCUACUCGGUCAAUUUUAGAAUCCCGCUGUGCUCUAGCAGCGAUCCACAUCAGGUUGGCUGUUUUUGGCUCUUUCUAGCCGAAUUCAGCCAAACUUGCAUCGGUUCCUGUGAGAAAACACACUUAGGGCCUUCGGUGGGCCGAAAAAAUGUGAAAAACUGAAACUCACUGGCGGUGGGACUCUCCAGUGCGGCGGCUCCUUCGGCUUACGUCGUGAUUGGGUAUUUUGCUCCGGUCAACCUGUAGAGGAAGAAACGGUGAUCACAACGGUGGUAAAAUUACAUUGAACGGGAAUCGGGAAGGGUCUCAUCGGAGGUAAAAAUCGAGACACCCUACGACAGCGUCGCUGAGCUUCAACGACAUUUUCCGACCAAUUGGCCAGUGCUUUCGCUCCAAUUUGACCAUAGGUGGGUUUAGAAUCAAAUUCUGAGCAAAAGGUAGAAUUUUUACCUCGUUUGGCGGCCGAAAAUUGCUCCGGUACGGCGGCAGGUGGCGGCGGUUGGCUCCCCAGCGGCUGGGCUGUCUUCUCCGGCGAGGGGCUCUGGCGGCUAGGGUUAAGAUUUGGAUUUGGGCAGUUGAGGUUAUUUAUACACAUCCGCUUUUGAUCUGAGUCGUCCAUCGCUUUUAAUCUGGACCGUCCGAUCGCGAUUAAAUAGGGAAUGAAUUUGGGCCGCUCAUCGCGAUUCAAUCUGAGCCGUCCGUGCGCGAUUCAAUCUGGGCCGUCUGUGCGCACGGGAACGGAUCUCAUCCAUUCGAUCGCACGCAUGCGGAUCGCCUACAUGGCUCCCUCCCGUGUGGUCUCCCGCGUCAACAUUUCUGCCACCUGGCGCAUCCUGGUUUGUCGGGGCUGCUGACCGGGCAGCUGACGUGACACAACAUUUCUAAAUUACGUUUUGACCCAAAUUUCUGAUUUUUCUUUCAAAAAUACUCAUAGAACCCAAAUUUUCACCCAUUUUUUCAAAAUUAUUUUCAAUUAAAUCCCUAAAUAAUUUUUACCCAUUAUUAUUAUUAUUAUUAUUUUCAUUAAAUUAAAUUAAAUUCUAUUAAUACUUAAUUAUAUUUAUAUAGAAUAAAUUAAAUUAAAAUAAUAAUAAUAAAAUAAAAAAGAAAUAGUUGGGUGUUACACACAUGAAAAAUAUACAUAAGCAAUGUAUAUAUAUAUAUUUACAUAUAUAGUUUUUGUUUCCUUCCUACAUUUAUAUCAAAUUCAUUCAAAUAAAUAUAUUUUUACAUAUUCAUUAUAAUUUAUAUAUGUAUAUCUCAUAUGCAUAAUAUGCAUUCCUAUACAUACACUAUAUAUAUAUAUAUAUACAUAUAAAUAUAUAUAACUUAAUUUUUAUCACCCUCUCAUUAUACCAAGCUACUCUCACCAUCUCUCUAUUUAAGUUCAAAUUUUUCAUUUAAAAUCAAAAAAACUUAAAAUGUAUUUAUUUUAAACAUCAUGCAAAACUAUUUAGAAAGAGAAUAAUGAAAGAAAAAAAAAAGAACUCACAUUUGGAUAAUUUGAAAGAAGAACCUACGUGAGAGGGGCGGUCACACAGUAGUUACGCUUCCCGCGGUGUCCCAGCUCAACCUUCUUCUUCCCUCCGCCACGCCGAUUGUGCCAAUGCUUCUUCACUCUCUUCUUCCCGUCACUUCUCUCCCUCUCCUCCUCAUUCUUCUUUUCUUAUCUUUUUUUUUUUAUUUGGUAGAUUGAAAGAGAGGAAAAAAUGUUUUGUUUGGUAUUUAUAUGAUGGGAGAAGGGAUAAGGAUGAUGAGGUGACAACCCAGGAGAGGGACGAAAUCUUCCCAUCCAUGCGAAUGGUGGCCACCGCUAUACCAUUUCCAAAUCUUUCCAUGUUUC